rnacentral:rRNA from 1 species
AUACAGCAUUUUCAAAGCUUGGGUCUCGUCUGAUCUCGGAAGCUAAGCAGGGUCUGGCCUGGUGAGUACUUGGAUGGGAGACCACCUAGGAAGACCAGGU